rnacentral:rRNA from 1 species
AUUGAACGCUGGCGGCAGGCCUAACACAUGCAAGUCGAGCGGAUGAAGGGAGCUUGCUCCUGGAUUCAGCGGCGGACGGGUGAGUAAUGCCUAGGAAUCUGCCUGGUAGUGGGGGAUAACGUCCGGAAACGGGCGCUAAUACCGCAUACGUCCUGUGGGAGAAAGUGGGGGAUCUUCGGACCUCACGCUAUCAGAUGAGCCUAGGUCGGAUUAGCUAGUUGGUGGGGUAAAGGCCUACCAAGGCGACGAUCCGUAACUGGUCUGAGAGGAUGAUCAGUCACACUGGAACUGAGACACGGUCCAGACUCCGACGGGAGGCAGCAGUGGGGAAUAUUGGACAAUGGGCGAAAGCCUGAUCCAGCCAUGCCGCGUGUGUGAAGAAGGUCUUCGGAUUGUAAAGCACUUUAAGUUGGGAGGAAGGGCAGUAAGUUAAUACCUUGCUGUUUUGACGUUACCAACAGAAUAAGCACCGGCUAACUUCGUG